rnacentral:rRNA from 1 species
CAACUCGUACGGGGGGCAGCAGUAGGGAAUUUUCGUCAAUGGGCGCAAGCCUGAACGAGCGAUGCCGCGUGAGUGAAGAAGGCCUUCGGGUCGUAAAGCUCUGUUGCGGGGGAAAAAAGGCAACUACAGGAAAUGGGAGAUGACAGAUGGUGCCCCGCCAGAAAGUCACGGCUAACUACGUGCCAGCAGCCGCGGUAAUACGUAGGUGGCGAGCGUUAUCCGGAAUGAUUGGGCG